rnacentral:rRNA from 1 species
GUAGGGAAUUUUCCGCAAUGGGCGCAAGCCUGACGGAGCAACGCCGCGUGAGUGAGGACGGCCUUCGGGUUGUAAAACUCUGUUCUUGAGGAAGAACCCUUCCGAGGCGAACAGCCUCGGAAGUUGACGGUACUCAAGGAGAAAGCCCCGGCUAACUACGUGCCAGCAGCCGCGGUAAUACGUAGGGGGCGAGCGUUAUCCGGAAUUAUUGGGCGUAAAGCGCGCGCAGGCGGCCGAUUAAGUCAGGUGUGAAAGGCUGCGGCUCAACCGCAGAGCGGCACCUGAAACUGGUCGGCUUGAGUGCAGGAGAGGGGAGUGGAAUUCCCGGUGUAGCGGUGGAAUGCGUAGAGAUCGGGAGGAACACCAGUGGCGAAGGCGGCUCUCUGGCCUGUAACUGACGCUGAGGCGCGAAAGCGUGGGGAGCAAACAGGAUUAGAUACCCGAGUAGUCC